rnacentral:rRNA from 1 species
UACGUAGGGUGCGAGCGUUGUCCGGAAUUAUUGGGCGUAAAGAGCUCGUAGGCGGUCUGUCGCGUCGGUCGUGAAAACUUGGGGCUUAACCCUGAGCUUGCGGUCGAUACGGGCAUGACUGGAGUUCGGCAGGGGAGACUGGAAUUCCUGGUGUAGCGGUGAAAUGCGCAGAUAUCAGGAGGAACACCGGUGGCGAAGGCGGGUCUCUGGGCAACUACUGACGCUGAGGAGCGAAAGCGUGGGGAGCGAACAGG